rnacentral:RNase_P_RNA from 1 species
GAAGUUAAUCAGAUGAUCGCGGAGGCAGGGACCGAAAGGUCGCCUUUGAGGAAAGUCCGAGCUCCAUAGGGCAAGGUGCUGGGUAACGCCCAGUGGGGGUGACCCCAAGGAAAGUGCAACAGAGAGAUACCGCCUCACACUCAGCAUGCUGAGUGCAGGGUAAGGGUGGAAAGGCGAGGUAAGAGCUCACCGGCAGUCAGGUGACUGGCUGGCCAUGUAAACCCCACCUGGAGCAAGACUGAAUAGGGGAACUAUGAACGGCCCGUUUUUGUUCCCGGGUAAGGUCGCUAGAGGCCGUCGGUAACGGCGGUUCGAGAUAGAUGAUCAUCACCUCCUUUCGGAGGGACAGAACUCGGCUUACGAUUGACUUCGCAA